rnacentral:rRNA from 1 species
UACAGAGGUCUCAAGCGUUUGUUCGGAUUCAUUGGGCGUAAAGGGUGCGUAGGUGGCGGGGUAAGUCAGGUGUGAAAUUUCGGAGCUUAACUCCGAAACUGCAUUUGAUACUGCCUUGCUUGAGGACUGGAGAGGAGACUGGAAUUCACGGUGUAGCAGUGAAAUGCGUAGAGAUCGUGAGGAAGACCAGUGGCGAAGGCGGGUCUCUGGACAGUUCCUGACACUGAGGCACGAAGGCCAGGGGAGCAAACGGGG